AACGCAAUUGGGUCCACCGCCCUGGUGACGACGAGAUAGUCACGCAGCGCGAUGCCGUGUCGGUUCUC
rnacentral:sRNA from 1 species